UCAUAGUAAUCGUCUUUGACGUACGCUCGAUCUCCGUCGUCCACGGGACGUUAAGCGGCUCUGGUCCGAGGAUAACGGACCCCUCUGACCGAGGCUAACUGCGUCGCUGGCCGUGUUACUUCCUUCGGGGGGCACACGUUAAAGAYGGUUGCGUGUCGUGAGUCUUUGCUGGUUGGAUGACCAAAUCGUUUACAACCGGUAGCGAUGGAUCCCUUGYCACGUCAUUCGAUGAAGACCGUUGCAAAUUGCGAUAAAGUGAUGUGAUGCGCAAGUCCACCACUUAUACGUGAAUCAUCGAGUUGUUGAACGCACUGCACCGCGCCCUAAACCGGCUGCGGUAUGCCCCUUUGAGCGUCAUUGUAUCCCUUCGGGAGUCUCUUGUUCAGAGACCCGAGUUCGGAGUCCUCGGUCCUCCGGGACCGUGUUCUCUCAGAUGCGUCGCGCCGAUCGCCUUGAUGGGUACUCUAAUGCCUGAGCGUGGAGUCCCUCKGGAGCCGAGACGCGCUCGACCGGGCGUUGGGCCCGCGGUCGCCAAGUCCGAACCGUCCUCGUGCGGCUCGGGACUACAACCGCAUGACCUCAUUGGGGUAGGACGACCCGCUAGACUUAAGCAUAUUAAUCAGCGGAGGAAAAGAAACUAACCAGGAUCCCUCA
rnacentral:rRNA from 1 species